UGAAUGUCUUGUGCCACUAUUACGGGAAGAAGAAAAUGGAGAUUUGAAAUACACGUUGAGAUGCCCCACUGCUGGUCUGUUCAAGUGCAAGUUCACUAGUCUGAUGUUUAAGAUGGAAACGGCAGGUGAGGUGGAGUAUCACUCAGUACCAUGGGAAAACAAGCUGGGAAAUCUUGACUGUGGACCAGCAGGACCUCUUUAUAACAUUAGCUGCUUCCCUGGGACUCCUGUUCAGAUACAUUUACCACACUGUGAGGUUAUUUCAGAUGGGAAGCUGGGGCAUCUGCGUGUUGCUCAUAUUACUGGUGAUGGUCUGGAGAUCAUUAAACCCACAGAGAUAACAGAGUAUCAUUU